rnacentral:lncRNA from 1 species
ACAGCAGCAGUGAUGGGGAACAGCAGCAGUGAUGGGAAAACAGUAGCAGUGAUGGGGAAACAGCAGCAGUGAUGGGAAACAGCAGCAGUGAUGGGAAACAGCAGCAGUGAUGGGGAACAGCAGCAGUGAUGGGAAACAGCAGCAGUGAUGGGGAACAGCAGCAGUGAUGGGAAACAGCAGCAGUGAUGGGAAACAGCAGCAGUGAUGGGAAAACAGUAGCAGUGAUGGGAAACAGCAGCAUGAUGGGGAAACAGUAGCAUGAUGGGGAAACAGCAGCAGUGAUGGGAAACAGCAGCAGUGAUGGGGAAACAGCAGCAGUGAUGGGAAAACAGUAGCAUGAUGGGGAAACAGCAGCAGUGAUGGGAAACAACAGCAGUGAUGGGGAAACAGCAGCAGUGAUGGGGAAACAGCAGCAGUGAUGGGGAAACAGCAGCAGUGAUGGGUGGUUGUUGUCCUUGAUGAUCUUUUUAGCCUUCCUGUGACAUCGGGUGGUGUAGGUAUCCUGGAGGGCAGGUAGUUUGCCCCCGGCGAUGCGUUGUGCAGACCUCACUACCCUCUGGAGAGCCUUACGGUUUUGGGCGGAGCAGUUGCCGUACCAGGCGGUGAUACAGCCCGACAGGAUGCUCUCGAUUCUCGAUCUGUAAAAGCAGCAGUGAUGGGAAACAGUAGCAGUAAGGGGAAACAGCAGCAGUGACAGGGAAACAGUAGCAGUAAGGGGAAACAGUAGCAGUAAGGGGAAACAGCAG